UGAGAAAAAAUCUAUCGAUUGUUAUUUAAAUAGCAGCAGGGGUUUUUGUUGUUUCAAUCUCGGUUUCAAGGCUCGUUUUUAGUUUUUUAAAUCCUAGAUUUUCGUGUUAAACGUCACGUGAUGUUUCACAUCCUCUGGACUCGUUUCUAAUCUCAUUCGCCAUUUUUCCUAGUGUCUCUCAAUCUUAACAAGAUUUUCUUUCGAAUAUGUAAAUUGACGAGCGGAACUGAAAUUGAGAUCUUAAAAAAUUUAUAAAAAAGAUAAGACAGCUCCUUCGUACAGCUUCCUUCCUUUUUAAACCGGAACAUCGUCUGCUGGCCAAGUCACCUUUUUUUCUCUCACACCUGCCCUUCCCCAACCAACUUAAAAAAGGGAAAGAAGCCCUUGGGGCGCGCCGUGAUGAUGGUGGUGAUCUGCGUUGGCGUAGCCGUUGGAAGAGCCGUUGUUCCACGAGUUGGCCCGUCCGUAGCCGUUGUUGCCGUAGGUGCCGUUGAACGAGUUGUAGCGCGCAGACGGGCCGUUGUUGGCGCGACGGAAGCCGUUGGCCGCCGAUGGAGCGUUGGAAGAGCCGCCAGUUGGCCGGCCGCUGUUCGACUGGUAGCCAUUGUUGACAUUGUAAUAGCCGUUCUUGACCGGCUGUGAAUUGCUGGCCGGCAAUUUCCACGCCGGGCCGCGUUGAUUGCUGUGAUUGGAGACCAUCAUCGCUGAUUUCGUCUGCUCUUCUUCGCGGCCGGAUGAUGCGCAGUUGGCACCGCCGUCCGAAGAUGCUGAUGCUGUGCUGUUGUUGUUGUUGUUGUUCACUGUGGUCGUCACGACGACGGCAGAGGCGAACUUUGAUUUCUUGUCGUGUUCAACGCAAACGGAUUGCUCUUUCUCGUCAGAGGGCAGCACUACUACGUUCUGUCUCAACUCUUCGGGCUCUUGUUGUUCUUGUGGCUGAGUCUCGUCGUCUUCCUCCUCAGGACCUGAGGCAUCGCCUAUUAAACAAUUCACAAUCAAAUGUUAUGUAAUGUCAAUUGGGGGCAGUGCCAGAUUGUGUCAAUUCUGUGCGGCUCGUAUCGAUCGUGACACAUCGGGACGCGCGCAAGUCCUUCAAACAAAACGGACAGGCAAGGAAAAUCGAUGCCAACUGCAAGUUAAACCCUCCCCACAUGACGAGAGCCAUUUUUUUUUUUAUCCCAAAUGUUGUGCGGAUGGGGGGGGGUAGUGAAUUGGAAUCCAUCACAUGCAGGUUCGAACCCAACAAAAGAAAAUUCAUUCCCAUAUGUUUUUUUUCUAUUCCCCAUUUUUAGAUCGUGAAAGGGGAAAACAUUGCGUGACCCCGAAACCCUUCCUAGAAAAAAAGCCAUGUCUAGUCUCGUAUCACUAAUAAUAAUAAUAAUACAAGCAGUAAAACACA